GUACUGUGAAACUGCGAAUGGCUCAUUAAAUCAGUUAUCGUUUAUUUGAUGUUACAUUACUACUUGGAUAACCGUGGUAAUUCUAGAGCUAAUACAUGCGCAAAGUCCCGACUUCUGGAAGGGAUGUAUUUAUUAGAUAAAAAACCAACGCGGGCAACCGCUUCUUUGGUGAUUCAUAAUAACUUUUCGAAUCGCAUGGCCUUGUGCUGGCGAUGCUUCAUUCAAAUNUCUGCCCUAUCAACU
rnacentral:rRNA from 1 species